rnacentral:rRNA from 1 species
UACGUAGGGUGCGAGCGUUGUCCGGAAUUAUUGGGCGUAAAGGGCUCGUAGGCGGUUUGUCGCGUCGGGAGUGAAAACUCAGGGCUUAACCCUGAGCCUGCUUCCGAUACGGGCAGACUAGAGGUAUGCAGGGGAGAACGGAAUUCCUGGUGUAGCGGUGAAAUGCGCAGAUAUCAGGAGGAACACCGGUGGCGAAGGCGGUUCUCUGGGCAUUACCUGACGCUGAGGCGCGACAGCGUGGGGAGCAAACAGG